AACAGGGAAAAGCCCAGCGCCGAAGCCUGUGGCCAAUUGGCUACUAGGCAAUGUGGCGUUUAGGUCGUUCCGCAGAGGUUCCGCCCCACCCUAAGUCCAUCAAUGAGUACGGUAGUAUGGACAUGGCCCAUAGAGGGUGAAAGGCCCGUGGGGGUGGGGAUUCGAUUGGCCGGAGCCUCUCUGGAUAGACCUUGGAGUCGGGUUGUUUGUGAAUGCAGCCCAAAGUGGGUGGUAAACUCCAUCCAAGGCUAAAUACUAGCACGAGUCCGAUAGCGAACAAGUACCGUGAGGGAAAGUUGAAAAGUACUUUGAAGAGAGAGUAAACAGUGCGUGAAACCGCUCAGAAGUAAACGGGUAGAGUUGAACUGCAAGCGCUGAGAAUUCAGCUGAUGAGUGUGAUUUGGGCUUGGCCAUGUUGGUGGACUCCGGGGUCUGCGUAGUAGCAGGUCUCUGCCUUCGGGUGGGGAUGCGCGAUACACUUAUCAAGUGUUGCACGCUCCGGUUGAUCUUCGGCCUACUCGUCAGUGCACUUUCUCAGUGUGUUCACCACGACCAGCACCGCUGUCUGGCUGCUAUGGUUAAACCGGUUAUGCAUAAUCCUUGUGGUUAUGCAUAGACGGGAUGGCAGGUGACUCGUUAGCAGGUUUGUGGCUUUGCUGCAUUCAUUGCUAUUGAAAGUUAUUAGCUGACCAUAGUGGUUCUGUGCAGUGUGUUGGAGGCGGCGGCUUUAGUUGUUGCAGGUGUCUCUGCUUGCUGACUUGUCCGGGUUUGGUUAUUUUGUUGCCUGUUUCAACAGGCCUAGUGAUGGCUCGGAUUCGUUCGGUGAGUGGUUGCAUUUGUGACUUCAUUUCUGGGGCCAAUAGUCUGUGGUGUAGU
rnacentral:rRNA from 1 species